UGCAGUCGACGGCAGCACGGGAGCUUGCUCCUGGUGGCGAGUGGCGGACGGGUGAGUAAUAAAUAGGAAUCUGCCCAGUAGUGGGGGACAACUUGGGGAAACUCAAGCUAAUACCGCAUACGACCUUCGGGUGAAAGUGGAGGAUCUUCGGACUUCACGCUAUUGGAUGAGCCUAUUUCUGAUUAGCUUGUUGGUAGGGUAACGGCCUACCAAGGCGACGAUCAGUAGCUGGUCUGAGAGGACGAUCAGCCACACUGGGACUGAGACACGGCCCAGACUCCUACGGGAGGCAGCAGUGGGGAAUAUUGGACAAUGGGCGCAAGCCUGAUCCAGCAAUGCCGCGUGUGUGAAGAAGGCCUGCGGGUUGUAAAGCACUUUCAGAAGGGAAGAAAUGCUGACGGUUAAUACCCGUCAGUCUUGACGUUACCUUCAGAAGAAGCACCGGCUAACUCCGUGCCAGCAGCCGCGGUAAUACGGGGGGUGCAAGCGUUAAUCGGAAUUACUGGGCGUAAAGCGCGCGUAGGCGGUUUGACCAGUCGGAUGUGAAAGCCCCGGGCUCAACCUGGGAAUUGCAUUCGAUACUGUCUGACUAGAGUAUGGUAGAGGGAAGUGGAAUUCCAGGUGUAGCGGUGAAAUGCGUAGAUAUCUGGAGGAACAUCAGUGGCGAAGGCGACUUCCUGGGACCAAUACUGACGCU
rnacentral:rRNA from 1 species